GCUCCCUGGGGUAGGCGCCAGCCGAUGGGUUGCGGCUGGCCGGCUGGAGCUGGAGCAGCCCACCCUAGUGACGCCCAGGGGACCUUCCGCAGCCCUCCCUCAAAGGAAGGGAAGACAGCCAGGCACCACCAAGGAGGCCAAGACAGCGGGCGCAGAGGGAAGGCAGAAGGAAGCGGAGGAGGUGGAGGGACUUACUGCGGAGCUGACUUCCCGGGCGGGGAGAAGAUAAGAGGCGCAUCUGUUCGGGCAGAACCAGAGCGGCACCCCCUGGAGCUGAGCCCUGCCUGCCGGGGUGUCCGGCACCCCGGUAAUGAAAGCAUCUUCCACUCCAAAUCCUUUCCUUUCCCUGCCUUCCCUGUUGUUUGUCAAGGGCCCCACUGUCCCCACUAACCCGGACUCCUCACUCCCCCAUCGAAUUGCUCACCAGAUCUCUCCUCCAGGAAGGCCUCCAUCUAGGCAUGAAGCCCGUCCACGCCCAGGACCCCCUCACCUCUCACUUGGACCACUUCGCAGCCUCUGAACCCCUCUCCCUGUGUCCACUCUGCCCUCCAUCCACCCGACAGACUCAACUCCCGCUCACAGCUCCGAUGCUGUAGCACCACUGCUCAACAGCUGCAGACUUUUUUUUGUAACUUCCAACAAAAACGUAUCCAGUCCUCGUAUCGCAGAAGCCCCCGGGGACGGGGACACUAGGACUAAAAGAUGUGGUGGUCGCCCACGAGGGCGGACAAAGACCCCAACUGCUUGUAAGAACGUAAUAUUCACUUGGUACCCACGCUUCCCCCUCUUGGCCCCAAACUGUUUCUCUGCAGCACCGUGUACCCACGGGCAUGUGGCUCCCCCCAAACUCGAGGACUCGUCACACCCCACACGCGAGGCUGUGCCCUCCUUCAGGAUGGAUGCUGUGCUCCUCCACAAACGCCCCCACACAGCCCCCCCGGGAAGGGGUGUAUCCCUAGUCACUGACUUGAAUUACACUGAGCUAACUCCACCCCAGCUGGCCUGCCCAGGAUCACACCAAGCCACACCCUUCCUUCCCCCCGCCCAGAGGUCUGUACCUUA